UGGUCGUUCAGGUUCUCCAAGGGUCCCUUUCCGGUGACGAUAGCCUGGACAAAGAAUCCGAACAUCGAGAACAUGGCCAGACGACCGUUCUUGAUUUCCUUGACCUUUAACUCCGCAAAGGUGUCGGGGUCAUCGGCCAAGCCCAAGGGGUCGAAUGAGCCACCAGGGUAGAUGGGGUCAGUCACCUCACCCAAAGGCCCACCGGCAACACGGUAGCCCUCGACGGCUCCCAUCAAGAUAACUUGAC
rnacentral:lncRNA from 1 species